GGCUCUUUGUUCUAGGGGUAUGAUUCUCGCUUAGGGAGCGAGAGGUCCAGGGUUCGAAUCCCGGACGGGCCC
rnacentral:tRNA from 1 species